UACAGAGGUCUCAAGCGUUGUUCGGAAUUAUUGGGCGUAAAGCGUGCGCAGGCGGUUCGUUAAGUUCGUUGUGAAAGCCCCGGGCUCAACCUGGGAAUGGCAAUGGAAACUGGCGAGCUUGAGUGUGGCAGAGGGGGGUGGAAUUCCGCGUGUAGCAGUGAAAUGCGUAGAGAUGCGGAGGAACACCGAUGGCGAAGGCAGCCCCCUGGGCCAACACUGACGCUCAGGCACGAAAGCGUGGGGAGCAAACAGG
rnacentral:rRNA from 1 species